rnacentral:rRNA from 1 species
GACGAACGCUGGCGGCGUGCCUAAUACAUGCAAGUAGAACGCUGAAGGAGGAGCUUGCUUCUCUGGAUGAGUUGCGAACGGGUGAGUAACGCGUAGGUAACCUGCCUGGUAGCGGGGGAUAACUAUUGGAAACGAUAGCUAAUACCGCAUAAGAGUAGAUGUUGCAUGACAUUUGCUUAAAAGGUGCAAUUGCAUCACUACCAGAUGGACCUGCGUUGUAUUAGCUAGUUGGUGAGGUAACGGCUCACCAAGGCAACGAUACAUAGCCGACCUGAGAGGGUGAUCGGCCACACUGGGACUGAGACACGGCCCAGACUCCUACGGGAGGCAGCAGUAGGGAAUCUUCGGCAAUGGACGGAAGUCUGACCGAGCAACGCCGCGUGAGUGAAGAAGGUUUUCGGAUCGUAAAGCUCUGUUGUAAGAGAAGAACGAGUGUGAGAGUGGAAAGUUCACACUGUGACGUAUCUACCAGAAA